GAUGAACGCUGGCGGCGUGCUUAACACAUGCAAGUCGAACGGUGAACGAGGGAGCUUGCUCCUUCCGGAUCAGUGGCGAACGGGUGAGUAACACGUGAGCAAUCUGCCCCGAACUCUGGGAUAAGCGCUGGAAACGGCGUCUAAUACCGGAUACGACGCGCGAAGGCAUCUUCUGCGCGUGGAAAGAAUUUCGGUUCGGGAUGAGCUCGCGGCCUAUCAGCUGGUUGGUGAGGUAACGGCUCACCAAGGCGACGACGGGUAGCCGGCCUGAGAGGGUGACCGGCCACACUGGGACUGAGACACGGCCCAGACUCCUACGGGAGGCAGCAGUGGGGAAUAUUGCACAAUGGGCGCAAGCCUGAUGCAGCAACGCCGCGUGAGGGACGACGGCCUUCGGGUUGUAAACCUCUUUUAGUAGGGAAGAAGCGAAAGUGACGGUACCUGCAGAAAAAGCACCGGCUAACUACGUGCCAGCCGCCGCAGUAACAC
rnacentral:rRNA from 1 species